AAGUAAUAUGCCUGAACAAAGGAUUAUUUUGAUAGAAUAAAUCAUGUAUAUCUAAUUAUACUAUUACUU
rnacentral:tRNA from 1 species